UACAGAGGGGGCAAGCGUUGUUCGGAAUUACUGGGCGUAAAGGGUGCGUAGGCGGCUUUCUAAGUUGGAUGUGAAAACUCUGGGCUCAACCCAGAGCCUGCAUCCAAAACUGGAGAGCUUGGGUUCUGGAGGGGAAAGCGGAAUUCCUGGUGUAGCGGUGAAAUGCGUAGAUAUCAGGAGGAACACCGGUGGCGAAGGCGGCUUUCUGGACAGAUACCGACGCUGAGGCACGAAAGCUAGGGGAGCAAACAGG
rnacentral:rRNA from 1 species